rnacentral:rRNA from 1 species
GUGGGGAAUCUUAGACAAUGGGGGAAACCCUGAUCUAGCCAUGCCGCGUGAUCGAUGAAGGCCUUAGGGUUGUAAAGAUCUUUCGCUGGGGAAGAUAAUGACUGUACCCAGUAAAGAAGCCCCGGCUAACUCCGUGCCAGCAGCCGCGGUAAUACGGAGGGGGCUAGCGUUAUUCGGAAUUACUGGGCGUAAAGCGCACGUAGGCGGACCAGAAAGUUGGGGGUGAAAUCCCGGGGCUCAACCUCGGAACUGCCUUCAAAACUCCUGGUCUUGAGUUCGAGAGAGGUGAGUGGAAUUCCGAGUGUAGAGGUGAAAUUCGUAGAUAUUCGGAGGAACACGAGUGGCGAAGGCGGCUCACUGGCUCGAUACUGACGCUGAGGUGCGAAAGCGUGGGGAGCAAACAGGAUUAGAAACCCUAGUAGUCC